rnacentral:lncRNA from 1 species
GCUCUCACAGGUAGAUGAAGCAAACGCCGAGGUGCUGCAGCUGUGAGCAGGAGGAAAAUUAAGCUGUGAACUGGAAUUCCAUCAGGCUGUCUACUGUGAAGCCCUGUGGCUUUAGCAAAGGGGCAGCAGUGGUCAGAAAUGACACCCAAAAGAAAAUGACAUGGAAUUCACAGUGGACUUCCUACUCCUGUGAAAGAAAGGGAGAAGAUGCUUUUGCUUCACGCAAUCUUCACAUCUAAAGAGGUUGCUGCUGUUAAGCACUUCCACAACUUAGACACACAAAGAAAUGGGAACCCUUUGCAGCCAGUAGUGGAACAUGAGCGUGGACCCUUCAGGCUUUGUCUGAUUUCUUCCUGUUUCUCUGACAUGUUGCUAAAUCAUGGCAAUGGAAGAGCUCAUCUCCAGGCUGCCAAACCCAUGCUGCCUUCCAGGUAA